AGUGAACGCUGGCGGUAGGCCUAACACAUGCAAGUCGAACGGCAGCACAGUAAGAGCUUGCUCUUACGGGUGGCGAGUGGCGGACGGGUGAGGAAUACAUCGGAAUCUACUUUUUCGUGGGGGAUAACGUAGGGAAACUUACGCUAAUACCGCAUACGACCUACGGGUGAAAGCAGGGGAUCUUCGGACCUUGCGCGAUUGAAUGAGCCGAUGUCGGAUUAGCUAGUUGGCGGGGUAAAGGCCCACCAAGGCGACGAUCCGUAGCUGGUCUGAGAGGAUGAUCAGCCACACUGGAACUGAGACACGGUCCAGACUCCUACAGGAGGCAGAAGUGGGGAAUAUUGGACAAUGGGCGCAAGCCUGAUCCAGCCAUACCGCGUGGGUGAAGAAGGCCUUCGGGUUGUAAAGCCCUUUUGUUGGGAAAGAAAAGCAGCAGGUUAAUACCCCGCUGUUCUGACGGUACCCAAAGAAUAAGCACCGGCUAACUUCGUG
rnacentral:rRNA from 1 species